AAACUAACCAGGAUUUCCCUAGUAACGGCGAGCGAACCGGAAAGAGCCCAGCUUGAGAAUCGAGGUGCUGCGCACCCCGAGUUGUAGUCUGGAGAUGCAUCCUCUGCAACGCACCAGACCCAAGUUCCCUGGAAAGGGACGUCAGAGAGGGUGACGAGCCCCGUCGAGUCUGGACCGUGUCGCUCCACGAGGUGCAGUCUGCGAGUCGGGCUGUUUGGGAAUGCAGCCCUAAGCGGGUGAUAAAUUCCAUCUAAGGCUAAAUAUUGGCAAGAGACCGAUAGCGAACAAGUACCGCGAGGGAAAGAUGAAAAGGACUUUGGAAAGAGAGUUAAAAAGUGCUUGAAAUUGCUGGGAGGGAAGCGAAUGGAAGCUGCGGGUGUGCCCCGGUUGGAUGCGGAACGGUUCGCGCUGGUCCGCCGCUCAACGCGGGGCACUGGUCAGCGUGGGCUACCGCGGCGGGACAAGAGCGGGGUGUAGUUCCCCGUCGAUGCCGUUGCGGUGGCCGAGGGACUAAGCGCGCGCCUUCUCUGGCGUCCCC
rnacentral:rRNA from 1 species